rnacentral:lncRNA from 1 species
UUCUCUUUUUGGUGAAUACAUCAAUGUUUUCAUUCCAAGUGAAUGAGACAGUGUAUCUCCAGUAUCAAAUUCAAUAAAAUUUUCUUUUUGGUUACUUAUAAUUUUUGAUUCUUCAUAUUCUGUUUCCUCUUCAAUAGAAUCUGCAAGGUUUACUGUGGCACGUUUAGGACAGAUAUUUGAUUUGUGUCGAUUUUCUCCGGA